AGACUCUCAUUGGUCAUGUAGAUGUCCAUGCCCCACUGAUAUCCCCGGAGAGGAUUUAUAACCAACAAGCUGAUCUAAUAGCUGCUGUUCGAGAAAUCAACCUGGAAAAAGCCUAUACAGAGAAUGAUGACCUGUGCAAAUAUGCUGAAGUAAAUGUAAUCGAGCCUUCCUUAAUAUCAUUAGCAAGGUGGGCUCAUGAAACUUCAGGACACAUGAGAGGAGAAAAACAUAUCAAUGGUGUCAUCAGCGAUGUAUACCAGUCACUAUUGAUAUUGUUAAACAAAUAGUGAACAAUUGCUCCACAUGUACAGAAGUAAAACAAUGGCCCCUACAGAAGAAGGCAACUGGUAAACUGAAGAGAGGAAUGGGACCAGGACAAAUUUGGCAGGUGGAUUACAUUGGGCCACUGCCACGAGAAAAUAAACUAUUAUAUGCUUUAACUGCAGUAGAUACUUAUUCUGGACUGUUACAAGCUUAUCCAUCAACAAGAGCUGACCAGAAAGCUACACUUAAUGGACUGAGCCAUGGAGUGCCCGAAGAAAUCCAAAGUGAUCAAGGAAGCCACUUUGCUGGGAGAGACGUACAAGAGUGGGCUCAAGGAGCUGGCAUUCAGUGGACUCUGCAUAUCCCUUAUCACCCACAGGCUGCAGGACUUAUUGAGAGAAUGAAUGGCCUGUUGAAAGAACAAGUUAAAAAACUAACUGGGCACAAUCAUCUUAAAGGCUGGACUAAAGUUUUAAAGCAAGCCUUAUUUAAUCUCAAUAAUCGUCCGUUGGCUGGGUCCACACUUUUAUGAGACAUCAAAAUGUCGGAGGAGAGCCACCUGUGUGUGCCCUCCGCCUGACAACAAUUAGUCCACUGGCAAACAAUGAAUUAACUCCCACAGGGUUAUUGGUUAGGGCACCUAAAUCACUUACAAUCAAGUUAAACUCCUCAGAAAGACUCAGCUUGGGAAUAACAGGUCAGUGGCCAAAGGAAUGGGAGAUUAUCCUCACGUGUGGAAUAAUCAGAACAGAACGGUUUAUGGACCGGAUGGAGCUGAUGCACCCCCUACAAUAAAGUCUUUUGGGCUGCUGAUAUGCCAGGAAUGGAAAAGUAUGUGACCUUGAACUUCACACUUACCAAGAACUGUACCAGGCAGUUAUGAGACAAGACACCUACGGCUCCAUUUUCCAUGAAACUGGAAUAUCCUGAACUGUUACCUUUCCCUGUGAUGACUUAUGAGGACACUGAAAUAACUGUGACUGUGCAUAAUAACGUAUCUGUCUGGUUGGCUAUGAUGAACUGUAAACCUGAUUCUAAUGGACUAUCAUGUUGGACAAUUGAAGGGGGCAACCGUUGACUGCAAUAUCAACACCCGAGAAUGGUGUAAUAUAUAUGUAUUUAAACAAGAAGCAACAACAAAUGUAAAGGUACCAGUAAUGUUAUGGGAAAUUCAUAAAACUAAGAGAGGGAAUGGAUAUCCAUCUGAUACAACAUUACUUAGACAAAUGAAAGGUUGUAAAAAAGCUAGGAUAGCACAUAAAAUAAUUACUGUAGCACUCAA